ensembl:lncRNA
UUUGGACUAGACAGGAGGCUAAAAGGCAACCUAAAGGAGCAGAAGGAGACCUAACUUGUACGAAAAGAUGAAGUAGAAUUGUUUGCUGAAGAUGAGAAGGGAAUAAGAGUAAUAGAAGUCUCCCUGUUUUCAGAGAAGCUUCCAACAUACAGACUACCAAAAGGCUCACAGCUUGAGAGCUUGGGAUCCAAAUCCUGGAUCUCAAACCAAGCUUUGCAGCCUGACCUGGGCUACAGGAGGGAGGAGCACAGGACCGUCAACGAAGAUCUACUGGAACCAGGAUUGAAGAUAAAGAUGUUGCUGGAAUCGGGAUGUAGGUAGGUGUCAUAGUUCAUGAGUGAUGAUAAGUGAUGACUUCUGGGCCGAUGGUGUAGGUCUGGAAUCACUGAGGAGAUAAUUUGCA